UCUUGGAUUAGUUCAUUCCUGAGUGUAAAAAUAUUAAAUAAUUGACCCGAGAUGAUAUGAUUUUGAUAUUUCAGAAUGUUUAUUGCCUAGGAACAAAUUCUUUAAUAUGUAAAAGAAAAAAAACCCUGUAGUUAAUACAGUAUUGAUGCAAUUUCAGUUGAUUAUUUGUGUUCACAGUGACUCAGCUAUUUUUAUUUGACUUAUGCUAUAUGUUUAUAUUACUUCUUCUUGCUGUAACUGAGUGCACCACAUUCACAGAGCAGUAUUUGUGUGCCAGUCGUGUAAAAGUUCACAUUGUUAUUGUGCUAAAUACCCACAAUAACAACAGAGCCUUAAAGCAUGCCAGAUUUCUGUCCCUUACACCAUUCUCUGUCAUCAUCAUCUUCCCCAAAACCUGUCAGUCUGGCUUUGGCAGGAUUUUACCUCUGUCCAGCUUUAGUUGUGCCACAAUGAAGCACAACUGAAUAAUUUUGAGUCUGUAGCCCUUCCUAACCAGUGUAAAUUGUUGUUUUAUACAGAUGUAACAAUAAUAAUCAAAUAAUUAAAGGUUUAUAACUAUCUGCA